GCCUUUGUAGAUCAUUGGGAUCGCCUUGAUCUGCUAUUCUUGUCAUUGGAGGAGACGGGGGUUCGAAUCCCCUCAAAGGCA